AUUGAACGCUGGCGGCAUGCCUUACACAUGCAAGUCGAACGGCAGCACGGGAGCAAUCCUGGUGGCGAGUGGCGAACGGGUGAGUAAUAUAUCGGAACGUGCCCAGUCGUGGGGGAUAACGCAGCGAAAGCUGUGCUAAUACCGCAUACGAUCUAUGGAUGAAAGCGGGGGAUCGCAAGACCUCGCGCCAUUGGAGCGGCCGAUAUCAGAUUAGCUAGUUGGUGGGGUAAAGGCCCACCAAGGGGACGAUCUGUAGCUGGUCUGAGAGGACGACCGGCCAAACUGGAACUGAGACACGGUCCAGACUCCUACGGGAGGCAGCAGUGGGGAAUUUUGGACAAUGGGCGCAAGCCUGAUCCAGCAAUGCCGCGUGCAGGAUGAAGGCCUUCGGGUUGUAAACUGCUUUUGUACGGAACGAAACGGUCCUUUCUAAUACAGGGGGCUAAUGACGGUACCGUAAGAAUAAGCACCGGCUAACUACGUGCCAGCCGCCGCAGUAAGAC
rnacentral:rRNA from 1 species